rnacentral:lncRNA from 1 species
CAAACAACAACAACAACAAACAAACAAAAUGAGAGGUGCCUGCUUCUCUCCCCUCCUCUUUGUGUGACCACAGUGGCGGUCCCCAUGGCCCGGGACGUGGAGAGCCUGGCGCUGUGCCUGCGAACCCUGCUGAGUGAAGACAUGUACCGACUGGACCCCACUGUGCCCCGGAUGCCCUUCAGGGAGGAGGAUCCCCGAACUAGCCAGCAUCUUGAAGAGAUUCGUGGAGUGGGGACACCCAAGAAACUGCGGGAGCAGCACACAGCAGUGGAGGUAAUGCAUGCCUGGGAAGACCUUGAGGGGCUGCUGGAGCCGGGGCUGCAGACACCUGGGUAGUGCCCUGAGUGGUCAGAGUUAUGGCCUGGCCUGCAGAGGAGGCCCAGCUGGACCUGGGUGGGGGCGCUUGG